rnacentral:rRNA from 1 species
UGGGGAAUAUUGCACAAUGGGCGCAAGCCUGAUGCAGCCAUGCCGCGUGUAUGAAGAAGGCCUUCGGGUUGUAAAGUACUUUCAGCGGGGAGGAAGGGAGUAAAGUUAAUACCUUUGCUCAUUGACGUUACCCGCAGAAGAAGCACCGGCUAACUCCGUGCCAGCAGCCGCGGUAAUACGGAGGGUGCAAGCGUUAAUCGGAAUUACUGGGCGUAAAGCGCACGCAGGCGGUUUGUUAAGUCAGAUGUGAAAUCCUCGGGCUCAACCUGGGAACUGCAUCUGAUACUGGCAAGCUUGAGUCUCGUAGAGGGGGGUAGAAUUCCAGGUGUAGCGGUGAAAUGCGUAGAGAUCUGGGGGAAUACCGGUGGCGAAGGCGGCCCCCUGGACGAAGACUGACGCUCAGGUGCGAAAGCGUGGGGAGCAAACAGG